UACGUAGGGUGCAAGCGUUGUCCGGAAUCAUUGGGCGUAAAGCGCGUGUAGGCGGCCCGAUAAGUCCGCUGUGAAAGUCCAGGGCUCAACCCUGGGAUGCCGGUGGAUACUGUCGGGCUCGAGUCCGGAAGAGGCGAGUGGAAUUCCUGGUGUAGCGGUGAAAUGCGCAGAUAUCAGGAAGAACACCAAUGGCGAAGGCAGCUCUCUGGGACGGUACUGACGCUGAGACGCGAAAGCGUGGGGAGCGAACAGG
rnacentral:rRNA from 1 species